UAAGGAGGAGUAGUGUAAGUGUCAGAUGGGUACGAACGUCAUCUUGUGACAGCAUCACCUUUGUUUGGCUAAAGUACAAGAGAACUGCAGCAUCUAAGACUACAUGUACAUCGACUUUGAAUAAUCUACCCGGUAUAUCCUCAAAAAGGCAACUCAAAUACAGAAAGUGCAUAUAAUUUGGAAAAGAGACCAUCAAUCCACUGGGGGGUAUCGCAUGAAAGCAAUGAUUAUAGAAUAUUGUAAGGCUGGAGGAGUUAUAGUACAACAGG